UUUGUUCAGUGCAUGCUGAGUAAUCUCUUCCCAGUAUUAAUAGUUUUGACAAUGUUCAAAUGAUUUCCUUCCCAUCACAUCAUGCAUAUAUUCCCUAGUGAAGGUCAUUUAUAGAAGAAGAGAAAAAAAAAAAAAAAAAAGACAAUAAAACCUUUUCUGGAUAAUUCAUAAAAUAGGAAAUUUUAGCAUCAAGGAGAUUUUCUUUCAAGAAGUGGUGAGUCACUGGAAACACAAGAUUAUAAAUUUGGCAAACUCAAUCAUAAUAAUCUAUGCCAAAUAAAAAUAAAUAAAUAAAUAAACAUACACCGUCUUUUUUGCCAUCGGAAAGAGUCUGAGAGAAUAAUGGGAGACAAGUGUUUAAAGUACUUGCUCUGAGAGCUCAGAGAUGACAAUUAUCUUUGAACUCCUGCAAAAUAUCCCAGGGCCAUUUCUCCAUUUAGUCAGCUUGCUCUGAAGUGUAGAGGAAGUUUACCUACUGGGGUGUUCAGACCCUUCCUCACAUAAUUAGUUCUUCACAUGACUGAAGUCUCAUCAACAGAUGAGGUCUUCUUCAGACUUUUAAAUCUGGAAGCCUCACUGGGAGAGAUAUACAAUGUGUUUCUCUCUGACAUAUUCUUUUAGUCUUUCCAAGGUUUAGUCAUUCCCCGGAAAGAUUAGUUUGUCUUUAUUGGUUCAGGCUGGUAGGAAAGGAGUCAGCACAUGAGCAUGGAGGUCUCUGAAAAGGCUGGAAUGCAAUGUUACCACGUUCCUCCUCAAGCUGAGAUUGUUAAAACAGAGAACAGUCUGUAACUAUACAACAUGUGAAGUUUGUUUUAAAGGCAAACUAUUUUCUCCAUGUCCUAAAAGUGGGAAGUGGACAGAAGGAGCCUUUUUCAAGUAACAGCUUCUUGAUUUAAUUAGUCAGCUUUCUGAUGAUUUGAAACUACUGCACUGACAGACUUUCCUCAGACUCUAUGUAUUUUUUUACUGCCUAAAUGUUAUUUCAGAUUGAAAGUUUGAUUAAGAAAACAGAGGACGUGUUAUUUCUAGGCAGCUAUAUGUUGUUUGUUUUUUAAUUAUACUCUACUCUGGUCCAUUAAAGUAACAUGAUUUACUUCAGUUUUGACCUACUUAAUCCCACACCUGCGAUAUUUUGAGAAUUUACUACCUAUUUUUUAAUUUGCUUCAGCAUGCAAAAUUGCUAAGCUUCAUUUAUAUCCUCUGGCAAUAUAAACUCCAGGAGGAAACAUACCAUGCUUGAAUUACUCACACAUAGUUUUGAAAAAAAAAACACACUUUUUUUUUUUUUUUAAGAGAUCAGUUACACACUAGCCUUGCCAGUGAUAACCCACAUCAAUUCAAAACAUUGUGCUGUUAGUCAGAUAACCUUGUGGUGGCACAAAUAUAUUAUUCCUCUGCUUAAAUGGAUUCUGUUGCUUUAUGAAACACAGUACUUUAUUUUGCUUUAGAGAAAACUCAUUCAUCGGAUCUAACUUGUUCAAUUUCAGAACACUGAAAUAACAUUUUUAUUAACUGAUUACAAAAUAUUUUUACUAGGUAUAAAAAGAUGUUCUUCAUCAAACAAAUAUUUAAGUAUUUUAGUUUUGUAAAUAGUUUGAAAUUGAUGGAAGAUUACCUUUAAAACUAUUUAUUCGGCCUUCAGGUCUCUUUUUAACAAUUAAACUUCUUUUAACAGUUCCACUAAAUAACACAGAUUGACCCGAUCUACUGGUACAAUUUCGGCACUUCAGGAAUUUAAGGAUAUGGGUGAUGAUGCGUAUGUGCAUUCCAUGAGUUCUUACUGAUUAUUACUUACAGGAUUAUUUAUUUAUUUAUUUAUUUGAGUUGGACUAAUGCAGGCCUAUUAACCUUUUUAAAAGUGGAUUUCUGCCAGCUUCUACUGUGUGUGGGUAAAGACAGGGAAAGAAAGGGAAAAAAACAAAACAAAAAAAAAAACAGAGCAGCAGGAGAUAUGACAGCAUUCAUCUGUAAAGGGUUUUGGAUGACCACAUAUAUAAGAAAUUUGAUUUGUAAGCCACAAUUAAGAAAUUCUAGAACUAUUUUUUGUGGACAACAUUCAUCAUGCCAUCUGGUUCAUAUUUUUCAGGAAGAAUAAUAUAAACUCAGUGCUGUGGUAACACGUCCAGGUCUGACUACAGUGUUAGAAGGUCACAUGCUAGUGGACAGAAGAGCAGUAAGGGUUUAGAGUGGGAUCUAAAACAGGAUUGUGCAGCUGAAGCAGUCAGAAACAGAACAAAGUUUGUUUUCCUACAAAAAUUCAAGCACACUUAAAAAUUAAGUAGUCAGCAAAAGAGAAGCUUCUGGACCUUGAACAUCAACCAACUUGAGCAUUUCCCAAAAGUAACCAGCACUGGAGAGAAAGCAGCUGAGAUGUACAACUGAAGGUGUUUAGAUGGAUUGGAAUAGGGGAAGACAGUUUCCUGAAACCUCACAAAAAUUAGCAAAUGUCUUUUAAAGGAAAGGUGCUGUUCAUUUAAUCUUCUGGACAAAGAUUACGCUCUAAAUGGCUGCAGUAAGUAGAAUUUCAAGUGUCUCAGCUGUCUGCUUUUUUCAUUGUCUGUUGGUAUUGUUGGUGGUCAGACACCAGUGGAUCUUCCCCAUAGACUUUGCCUCUCCCAUGUAGUAUUCUCUACAGCCAAUUCACUUCUAAAACAUAGUUGCAAAAGGACCCAAAGCAGCCAGAAGCAGUUUCUUGAAAACUCUCUAAUGGUACAGCUCAUGUCUACCCUCUACGUUAUUGCCCAAAUUCAUCCCUCUUCUGACUCAUGCUGGAACUAAAAGAAAUGCCGAAUUCCUUGAGGGGGCCUCGGGCCCUCUGACGUUCAUACUUGCAGAUUUUGAAAUUUGGAACUCUAACAAGUACGUGUAUAGAAUAAGCAACAGACCAGAUGCCUCCACAAGAGAUAUAUUCUGUGGGUAACAUCUGGGGGGGAUGGGGGGGGGGGGGGGGUGUACCAGAGACUGGGGAAGGAGAGAAAUGUAUCUGAUGAAACAGAUAUUGCUCAACGUCAUCUAACCUUCCCCAUGCCCACAAGAAUCCUUGGUCUAAACUGGCGUUCAUUUCAGAGACAAAUAAAACUAAUCUUGUAGGCUUGCAUUAUGUGGAAGCUGAGAUAACUUUACAAUGUUGAAUCUGUUUGCGCUCCUGAGCGUAUAAGCAUUCAGAUUUAUGUCACAAAUCAAAUCACUUGUGUCCCUCUCUUCCUCCUCCUGAACUCAGCCUGCCGCUCACCCUUCUCCCAUUUGUAUGCUUGUUAGGUAUCAUGGGUCAGCGCCAAUGUUUGGCUUUGAAGUUUUUGAAGGAAACACUUCAGUAAACAUCUCAAAGACUAGAGGCUUAAAUUCUCCAGUGUAGUGUGCUGUCCAGAUGUUAAAAUGGCAGGAUGAAAGCUUCACACCAGUCCUCCAACUUGCUCCCUAUAUACUAACGCACAUGCAAGCACACACAGAAGUCAGGCACAAGGUGUUCGUAGGACAUUUUUAUCCCCAUUACCAUACGCUUUCAGGAAUUUCAUGUACAAAAGUUUAAAGGAGUUCCUCAGACAAAAUAUGCCCCUACACAUGGCUUGCUGGUUAUCAUGAGGCAAAACGUAAGGACGGACAUAAGCACACAAUAUUCUUGUUUAAAGAGUAGAGCGUGCUACUUGAUAAGAUAGAUCCCGCGCUUUGUAUUUCAGCUGAAGGUCCUUUCUCCUGCUGUUUCCUUUUUCAUGUUGUUCUUUCACUGCUAGCAAGCAGCAAGCAACAACUGCAAUAUGAAAUCACUCCAAGUCUUGCAAUUUAAAAAGCUUGUGAGUUCUCCAAGAGAUGCUGCUCAAGCAUUCCUCUUCCCCACGUUUUGAAAGUAUUUAAGCCUUCAAGGUAAUAUAAAAGGAAUGUGUCAUAUUGGGAUUAUGACACAUAUUGUGUAUAUUCUUUCACAGCUCUUCCUAGACAACUUUCAUUUAUAUCCACCCAAGACUUUCACAGACAUUGCCAACGUGGUUAUAAGAAAGAUGAGAAGUCCAGUAGUGGCCAUUGAGAGGUUCCCAAGUAAAGCUCCUCAUUUACAAUUUAUUCUUGAGAUGAGAGAACUAAGACAAGACCUUUGUAGAAAGGCACUCAGCAGGGAGCUUUGAAGCUGCGAAAGACGCACACAAUCAUUAUUCUUGCUCUGGAGUCAUUUGCAGCAGACCACACUGCCUCCUGUUUGAGAAGAAGAGCCAGUACACCAGAAGUGUCCACCCUCCGUUCUCCUUCCUCCAGCUACAGACAAAGCUUGAGGAAAAGGAAAGCGGAAAGGAAGAAAUUGAGCUCUGUUCUUAAAAGGUGGUGGGACCUUCUUCAGAAUUAAAACGUUGUAAUAUACAAACCAUAGUGCCACACUGUCUUCAUGACUGUGGAAUAGGUAGUGAGUGGAGUACACAUAAUGCUCCUGCUACUGCUCCCUAAAACUCUGGUUAUUCUAGUGCAAAGUAUAAAGUGCCAACGACAUGGAAACAUGCAUGCUGAUGCAGAGACGAGAUUUGAGGUGUCCAAUGUGUUUGUGCUGAAAAAGCCGCCCCUUAGGAAAGCAGUGCUUUUUCGGGGGGUGGGGGGUGGGAACCACACACUAAAAACAGAAAAACCAGCAGAACAAAACACUCCCUUCCCCCCAAACCCCUUAAAUUAUAGCAUGCAACCACACAAUGCUAUCAUUCCCUCUCAAAGAUCACAGGGUCCAGCUUGCCUGAUCUUGCAUUUUUCCCUGCACGUUCCUGUAUUGGCUUUGCAAUUAUUCAAGCAUUCUGUUUUUAAAAGAAACACCUAGAAGUAUUUCUCCACUUAAAUAAACAAACAGUAUUAGCAAGAAGCCCAACACUCACAAAGUCCACUUUAAAAAAGUAAAACACGUAUGUUAGGGAUGAAUAAUUUUGCAGCAAUAAUAAACAUAAUACUUGGCUCUGAUACAGCAUUAUCCACAUGAAAAGAGAAAGUAUUUCAAGCCUCCACUGUGAUACAGUGAAGAAUUAGGAAGAAUUAUGAGUCCUGACAAAAAUGCCUUGAAGAUGUCUUUAAGAGUUUGGAAGUAUGUCUCCAUGAUCACGUUUCACAGCCUUUUAUCAGAACAUAUUCAGCUUCAGAAACAGCAGUGAUCCACAAUUUCACAAGUUGACCAAAAAGUCUUGCACUCAUUUGCAUCGCAAAUGGAAAGAAGCUUUUCAGACUGAAGAAAUGGUUUCUCACACAAACCCCUCUUCAGCUGAAACUGUGUUCAAGAGAAAAGCAUGGAGGUGUCAGACCUGAGAUAUUUGCAAGUCUGUUUUUAAUUAAGAGACGGGUAAAAUAAUUGCACUUUGAUUUGAAGCCUUAUAUUUCAGAAUACAGACUCUUUAGACACCACAGAACUGAAGAUUUGGGAGCCCAGAGCUCUCUGGGGCCAGUAAUGCCCUCCAUUGACAUUCUGCCUUUUGGAGCAAAUGGCACUGUCUUGUGAAGCAAUCUUUUAGCGUGGCAAUCCUAGGACUGCAGAACCUGUUUGUGUUUGGUUUGGCAGGCUACGGCAAUGUCAGUAAGGGCAUGUUCGCACUGCGACCCAGAGGCUGCACCAGAGCCCAGGUUCCUUCCCGUGCCCCCCGUGACUAAACCUUCGAGGGGACUUUCACAGGAUUUCUGUCCACUCCAUCACAAAUCCCCAGCUCAAUCAAUGAAACAGUUCAGAGCCCGUAGUACUGCUGCUGCUUUUCUACACAGACUUAUCAGAAGGGACUAUAAAUUCCAGUGGAUUAUUUAGUAUUUACAGCCUUUGACACAGAUUCAUGGUUAAUUCACAACUCGGUCCAUUGUUUUCUAUCUAUUACCUGAACAUAAAUACAGAAUUCUAUACAGAAACAUUUUUCCUUGUCUUUCCUCCAAAUAUUUGCUCAGAAAUAUUUCAGUAACCUGGAUAACCCAGAAAGCCCUAGUGAAUGUUUCAUUUGGAAGACUCUCCAGUCCUUUGACCAUUACAAAAUUUCCCACCAAUACCACUGGGUUCAAAAUCUACUCCCAGUUAAUGAUGUCUGUGACUUACGGAGCUCUUAAUACAUACAGCACGUCUUCACUUGUUUGCAAUUUGUUUGCAAAAUUUACUUCCCAGCACUCCCAUGCACGUCACUGUCCUCAUCAUGUGCAAUUUCAGAGAUGAGUCCAUGAACUGUACGGUAAACUGAAAUGAACAUACACAUGCAAUACAGAUUUUCUUGUGUGCCUUUCAAGGCAGCUGUGCAGUCACCCACGUCCCUGGAUGGCACAUAAGCUUCAGCACGUUUUCACCGAUAUCCCUUCUCACACAUUUGGCUUUCAAGACAGGCUUGUGAAUAAUGCGUGGCCCUGUUUCAUGUCUUAUUGAGGUAAAGCUUCUCGGAAUGUCCAAGGAACAAUAAUGUGGUAUUUCUUGAUUACAUAAGCAUAUAAAUGUGCAGACUAAUGAUGUUUUUUAAAGCAGACAGUGGUUUUCGCUUGUUUAAGAAACUUACAUCACAUAGAAAUAUAAUAUAGCUUGGAAGUUGCUGGCCACAGCACUUGCAUCUCCUGUCAGCUCGAGAGGCUGGGCUGGAGCCCGCUGGAAGCUGCUAUGCCCGGCGCUGCUGACUCUGCAAAACAGUUUCAAAGGGUCAUCGGUUCUUCAAAGCAAAGGCAACUGUCACCCAUGAAGGCAGUAGCUACUUCCACGUUGUGGCACAGCCCAUGAUAUAUAAGAUGAUGUUUUCUGACAAUAGUAAGGAUAUUAGUAAUAAAAAGUAGGAUAAUCACAGGAUUUUCUCUCGGUGAGCACGCUUGCCAUUCCUUGUUGAAACCGGUCUCUCAGAUUCAGUGGCUAUGGGGCUAUUUCCCCAGGGAAAAAGGAGGCUUAGUCAGCACAAGACAGAUCCUGCUCU